GCCAGACUCCUACGGGAGGCAGCAGUGGGGAAUAUUGGGCAAUGGGCGAAAGCCUGACCCAGCAACGCCGCGUGAAGGAAGAAGGCUUUCGGGUUGUAAACUUCUUUUGACAGGGAAGAGCAGAAGACGGUACCUGUCGAAUAAGCCACGGCUAACUACGUGCCAGCAGCCGCGGUAAUACGUAGGUGGCAAGCGUUGUCCGGAUUUACUGGGUGUAAAGGGCGUGUAGCCGGGCUGACAAGUCAGAUGUGAAAUCCGGAGGCUCAACCCCCGAACUGCAUUUGAAACUGUUUCCCUUGAGUAUCGGAGAGGUCAUCGGAAUUCCUAGUGUAGCGGUGAAAUGCGUAGAUAUUAGGAAGAACACCAGUGGCGAAGGCGGAUGACUGGACGACAACUGACGGUGAGGCGCGAAAGCGUGGGGAGCAAACAGGAUUAGAUACCCCGGUACG
rnacentral:rRNA from 1 species